rnacentral:rRNA from 1 species
UAUUGCGCAAUGGGGGAAACCCUGACGCAGCAACGCCGCGUGCAGGAAGAAGGUCUUCGGAUUGUAAACUGUUGUCGCAGGGGAAGAAGACAGUGACGGUACCCUGUGAGAAAGUCACGGCUAACUACGUGCCAGCAGCCGCGGUAAUACGUAGGUGACAAGCGUUGUCCGGAUUUACUGGGUGUAAAGGGCGCGUAGGCGGGAUAGCAAGUCAGUCGUGAAAUGCCGAGGCUUAACCUCGGAGCUGCGAUUGAAACUGUUAUUCUUGAGUAUCGGAGAGGAAAGCGGAAUUCCUAGUGUAGCGGUGAAAUGCGUAGAUAUUAGGAGGAACACCAGUGGCGAAGGCGGCUCACUGGACUGUAACUGACGUUGAGGCUCGAAAGCGUGGGGAGCA